ensembl:lncRNA
CCACCGUCCAUUGUGCAUAAAAUAUAUUUGAUCAUGAAACUGCACUAUUUCCGUUUAACAGCGAACUCCGUUAAGGACCUUUAUUGGGCAGGUUAUCAAUUGAGAUGUAACAAUCCUUUUAUAACCAGCGGCGUCGACAUAAGAUACAGUCACUCAAAAUGGUGGAACCUCUUCGCACAUGUCUUCUGAUGAUAGGGAUCAAGGUUUCCUGAGAACGGUCCUUCACUAUUUUAAGGAUUGGGCGUCGUCUGUUGUGUUUGACCUCCAGCAUCCCAAACACCCAUCCCUCUCUUCUCCACGUUGGACCCAUCCUUCCACGAUUGUACUAAAAUAAAAG